AGAUUGAACGCUGGCGGCAGGCCUAACACAUGCAAGUCGAGCGGCAGCACGGGUACUUGUACCUGGUGGCGAGCGGCGGACGGGUGAGUAAUGCCUAGGAAUCUGCCUGGUAGUGGGGGAUAACGCUCGGAAACGGACGCUAAUACCGCAUACGUCCUACGGGAGAAAGCGAGGGGACCUUCGGGCCUUGCGCUAUCAGAUGAGCCUAGGUCGGAUUAGCUAGUUGGUGAGGUAAUGGCUCACCGAAGGCACGAUCCGUAAUGGUCUGAGAGGAUGAUCAGUCACACGUGGAACUGAGACC
rnacentral:rRNA from 1 species